rnacentral:rRNA from 1 species
UAGUAACGGCGAGUGAAGCAGCAAUAGCUCAAAUUUGAAAUCUGGCGUCUUCGACGUCCGAGUUGUAAUUUGUAGAGGAUGCUUCUGAGUAACCACCGACCUAAGUUCCUUGGAACAGGACGUCAUAGAGGGUGAGAAUCCCGUAUGCGGUCGGAAAGGUGCUCUAUACGUAGCUCCUUCGACGAGUCGAGUUGUUUGGGAAUGCAGCUCUAAAUGGGAGGUAAAUUUCUUCUAAAGCUAAAUAUUGGCCAGAGACCGAUAGCGCACAAGUAGAGUGAUCGAAAGAUGAAAAGCACUUUGGAAAGAGAGUUAAAAAGCACGUGAAAUUGUUAAAAGGGAAGGGAUUGCAACCAGACUUGCUCGCGGUGUUCCGCCGGUCUUCUGACCGGUCUACUCGCCGCGUUGCAGGCCAGCAUCGUCUGGUGCCGCUGGAUAAGACUUGAGGAAUGUAGCUCCCUCGGGAGUGUUAUAGCCUCUUGUGAUGCAGCGAGCGCCGGGCGAGGUCCGCGCUUCGGCUAGGAUGCUGGCGUAAUGGUCGUAAUCCGCCCGUCUUGAAACACGGACC